rnacentral:rRNA from 1 species
UACAGAGGUCUCAAGCGUUGUUCGGAUUCAUUGGGCGUAAAGGGUGCGUAGGUGGCGUCGUAAGUCGGGUGUGAAAUUUCGGAGCUUAACUCCGAAACUGCAUUCGAUACUGCGGUGCUUGAGGACUGGAGAGGAGACUGGAAAUUUACGGUGUAGCAGUGAAAUGCGUAGAGAUCGUAAGGAAGACCAGUGGCGAAGGCGAGUCUCUGGACAGUUA